rnacentral:ncRNA from 1 species
AGUGGGACAACUCUCCCCAACGAGAGUCACCUAUCUGAAAGGGGUAGAA